rnacentral:rRNA from 1 species
UACGGGGGGGGCAAGCGUUGUUCGGAAUUACUGGGCGUAAAGGGCGCGUAGGCGGCGCGGUAAGCGUGCGGUGAAAGCCCGGGGCUCAACCCCGGGUCGGCCGUGCGGACUGCCGGGCUGGAGCACUGUAGAGGCAGGUGGAAUUCCGGGUGUAGCGGUGGAAUGCGUAGAGAUCCGGAAGAACACCGGUGGCGAAGGCGGCCUGCUGGGCAGUAGCUGACGCUGAAGCGCGACAGCGUGGGGAGCAAACAGG